rnacentral:rRNA from 1 species
AGUGAACGCUGGCGGUAGGCCUAACACAUGCAAGUCGAACGGCAGCACAGUAAGAGCUUGCUCUUACGGGUGGCGAGUGGCGGACGGGUGAGGAAUACAUCGGAAUCUACUUUUUCGUGGGGGAUAACGAAGGGAAACUUACGCUAAUACCGCAUACGACCUACGGGUGAAAGCAGGGGAUCUUCGGACCUUGCGCGAUUGAAUGAGCCGAUGUCGGAUUAGCUAGUUGGCGGGGUAAAGGCCCACCAAGGCGACGAUCCGUAGCUGGUCUGAGAGGAUGAUCAGCCACACUGGAACUGAGACACGGUCCAGACUCCUACGGGAGGCAGCAGUGGGGAAUAAUGGACAAUGGGCGCAAGCCUGAUCCAGCCAUACCGCGUGGGUGAAGAAGGCCUUCGGGUUGUAAAGCCCUUUUGUUGGGAAAGAAAAGCAGCAGGUUAAUACCCCGCUGUUCUGACGGUACCCAAAGAAUAAGCACCGGCUAACUUCGUG